GAUCCUGGCUCAGGAUGAACGCUAGCUACAGGCUUAACACAUGCAAGUCGAGGGGCAGCGGGAUUGAAGCUUGCUUCAAUUGCCGGCGACCGGCGCACGGGUGAGUAACGCGUAUCCAACCUUCCGUACACUCAGGGAUAGCCUUUCGAAGAAAGAUAAUACCUGAUGGUAUGAUGAGAUUGCAUGAUAGCAUCAUUAAAGAUUAUCGGUGUACGAUGGGGAGUG
rnacentral:rRNA from 1 species